UACGUAGGGUGCAAGCGUUAAUCGGAAUUACUGGGCGUAAAGCGUGCGCAGGCGGUUUUGUAAGUCUGUCGUGAAAUCCCCGGGCUCAACCUGGGAAUUGCGAUGGAGACUGCAAGGCUAGAAUCUGGCAGAGGGGGGUAGAAUUCCACGUGUAGCAGUGAAAUGCGUAGAGAUGUGGAGGAACACCGAUGGCGAAGGCAGCCCCCUGGGUCAAGAUUGACGCUCAUGCACGAAAAGCGUGAGGAGGCAAACAGGGA
rnacentral:rRNA from 1 species